GAGCGCGCCCUUCGGGGUGAGCGGCGGACGGGUUAGUAACGCGUGGGAAUACGCCCGACACUAAGGAAUAGCCUCUGGAAACGGAGAGUAAUACCUUAUACGCCCUUCGGGGGAAAGAUUUAUCGGUGACGGAUUAGCCCGCGUUAGAUUAGAUAGUUGGUGGGGUAACGGCCUACCAAGUCUACGAUCUAUAGCUGGUUUUAGAGGAUGAUCAGCAACACUGGGACUGAGACACGACCCAGACUCCUACGGGAGGCAGCAGUGGGGAAUCUUGGACAAUGGGCGCAAGCCUGAUCCAGCCAUGCCGCGUGAGUGAUGAAGGCCUUAGGGUCGUAAAGCUCUUUCGCCAGAGAUGAUAAUGACAGUAUCUGGUAAAGAAACCCCGGCUAACUCCGUGCCAGCAGCCGCGGUAAUACGGAGGGGGUUAGCGUUGUUCGGAAUUACUGGGCGUAAAGCGCGCGUAGGCGGAUUAGUCAGUUAGAGGUGAAAUCCCGGGGCUCAACCCCGGAACUGCCUUUAAUACUGCUAGUCUAGAGUUCGAGAGAGGUGAGUGGAAUUCCGAGUGUAGAGGUGAAAUUCGUAGAUAUUCGGAGGAACACCAGUGGCGAAGGCGGCUCACUGGCUCGAUACUGACGCUGAGGUGCGAAAGUGUGGGGAGCAAACAGGAUUA
rnacentral:rRNA from 1 species